rnacentral:tRNA from 1 species
CCCCUUAUGGUGUAGAGGUAACAUGCUUGAUUGUCGAUCAAGAGUCGGGAGUUCAAUUCUCCCUGGGGGGA